CUCAGUAACUUUGUCGCGGCGUGCGGUUGGUUUGUAAUUGAUUUGUUAUGUGUUUUUCUUAUAUAAUGCUAUUGAUGUUUUCUCUUGUAAUGAUGUCCUCAUCAUGCUCAUGGAAGUUACCCCUUUGUUUGCUAAUGUUAUUGUCUGGAUAUAGACAUGAUAGAAGAAAAGUCUUUUUGUCUCCAUUGUAAAUACAUAUAAUCCUCAUAUCAUCUGUCUAUAAAACCCAAGGAGAAGUCUUUUCC
rnacentral:lncRNA from 1 species